AGGUACUGAUAAAGGAACAGGCCUUCCAUUGCUCUUUUCUAGGUGGGCAGCCUACGGGAAAGGGGAUUUACAGCAGUGGAAAGGAGCAGUAAAAGUGCUGUGGCUAACGCGAAUCACAUGCUCCCAGAACAGCCUGUGAGUCGACUAAAAAUGGAAAGAACACGAGUAUCGAAUUGUUGGGAAGUGAAUACAAAGUAGAUGACAAUUGUUCAUGUCCCUCCAUUUCCUCUCACAUCCAAAGAGGGCAGUAUUCUUGACCUCUACUUCCCAGAAACGAUUCCGAAGUCUAUCCUGAGUUUACAGAAUCAAAAUUUCCAGGGUGCAAGACUUAAUCAUUUGCACUGGUUUUAAGCUCACCAAGUAACCUUGUAUAUCAGUCCAUUUUGAUACUGCUAUGAAGAACUGCCUGCAACUAGGUAAUUUAUGAAGGAAAGAGGUUUAAUGGACUCACAGUUCAACAUGGCUGGGGAGGCCUCAGGAAAAGCAGUCACGGCAGAAAAGGAAGCAAGACACCUUCUUCGCAAGGAACAGGAAAGGAAAGUGCCCAGUGAAGGGGGAAGAGCCUCAUAUACAAUCAUCAGAUCUCGAGAGAACUCACUCACUAGCAACUUGCCAGGAAACCGCCUCCAUGAUUCAAUUACUUCCACCUGGUCUCUCCUUUGACCGGUCAGAAUUCUGAGGAAUGCAAUUCAAGAUGAAAUAUUGGGUGGAGACACAGCCAAACAUCACCUUGGGGCACAGGCUCAAAAACAGUCCACAGGAUACCAUCACUGAGCUGGAAUACAACAUGGGGCAUCUGAAAAGAAGAACCAAAAUAGAUGCCUGGUCUUCAACUAAAUUACCUGUUCAUCUUUUUCCAGGAAACCUUGGAACACCAAGGAAUCAGCAGUCAAACGAGCUCAGUCUCUCAGAACACAUGUGGGGGAAUUGAGUAUUUCAACUUUUAGGUAGACAGUUUCUACAAGCUAAAUAGUGGAACAAAAGGAGCCAAAUAAAGAAGUUAUAAAACACGUGCAUAUUUAGCCCCUACUUUUUAUUAAACUAAGACUUUUUAUUCACA